rnacentral:rRNA from 1 species
GACGGAAGGUGCAAGCGUUGCUCGGAAUCACUGGGCGUAAAGGGUGCGUAGGCGGCCUGGUAAGUCUGGCGUGAAAGCCCAGGGCUCAGCCCUGGAAGUGCGCUAGAAACUGCGAGGCUCGAGUGCCGGAGGGGAGAGUGGAAUUCCUGGUGUAGCGGUGGAAUGCGCAGAUAUCAGGAAGAACACCCGUGGCGAAGGCGGCUCUCUGGGACGGUACUGACGCUGAGACGCGAAAGCGUGGGGAGCGAACAGG